rnacentral:misc_RNA from 1 species
GAUGAAGAACGCAGCGAAAUGCGAUAAGUAGUGUGAAUUGCAGAAUUCAGUGAAUCAUCGAAUCUUUGAACGCACAUUGCGCCCCUUGGUAUCCCGAGGGGCAUGCCUGUUCGAGCGUCAUUUCACCACUCAAGCCUGGCUUGGUGUUGGGCGACGUCCCCUUUGGGGACGCGCCUCGAAACGCUCGGCGGCGUGGCACCGGCUUUAAGCGUAGCAGAAUCUUUCGCUUUGGAAGUCGGGGCCCCGUCUGCCGGAAGACCUACUCGCAAGGUUGACCUCGGAUCAGGCAGGGAUACCUGCUGAACUUAAGCAUAUCAAUAAGCGGAGGA